UUGAACGCUGGCGGCAUGCCUUACACAUGCAAGUCGAACGGCAGCACGGGAGCAAUCCUGGUGGCGAGUGGCGAACGGGUGAGUAAUAUAUCGGAACGUGCCCAGUCGUGGGGGAUAACGUAGCGAAAGCUACGCUAAUACCGCAUACGAUCUAUGGAUGAAAGCGGGGGAUCGCAAGACCUCGCGCGAUUGGAGCGGCCGAUAUCAGAUUAGGUAGUUGGUGAGGUAAAGGCUCGGACCAAGCCGACGAUCUGUAGCUGGUCUGAGAGGACGACCAGCCACACUGGGACUGAGACACGGCCCAGACUCCUACGGGAGGCAGCAGUGGGGAAUUUUGGACAAUGGGCGCAAGCCUGAUCCAGCAAUGCCGCGUGCAGGAUGAAGGCCUUCGGGUUGUAAACUGCUUUUGUACGGAACGAAACGGUGAGCUCUAAUACAGUUUGCUAAUGACGGUACCGUAAGAAUAAGCACCGGCUAACUACGUG
rnacentral:rRNA from 1 species